AUGCACCGAAGCUGCGGCAGCGACACUAUGUGUUGUUGGGUAGGGGAGCGUUCUGUAAGCCUGUGAAGGUGUGUCGUGAGGCAUGCUGGAGGUAUCAGAAGUGCGAAUGCUGACAUAAGUAACGAUAAAGCGGGUGAAAAGCCCGCUCGCCGGAAGACCAAGGGUUCCUGUCCAACGUUAAUCGGGGCAGGGUGAGUCGACCCCUAAGGCGAGGCCGAAAGGCGUAGUCGAUGGGAAACGGGUUAAUAUUCCCGUACUUGGUGUUACUGCGAAGGGGGGACGGAGAAGGCUAUGUUGGCCGGGCGACGGUUGUCCCGGUUUAAGCGUGUAGGUGUGUGUUCCAGGUAAAUCCGGUUCACUUUAACACUGAGGCGUGACGACGAGGCACUACGGUGCUGAAGCAACAAAUGCCCUGCUUCCAGGAAAAGCCUCUAAGCAUCAGGUAACAUCAAAUCGUACCCCAAACCGACACAGGUGGUCAGGUAGAGAAUACCAAGGCGCUUGAGAGAACUCGGGUGAAGGAACUAGGCAAAAUGGUGCCGUAACUUCGGGAGAAGGCACGCUGACACGUAGGUGAAGUGAUUUACUCAUGGAGCUGAAGUCAGUCGAAGAUACCAGCUGGCUGCAACUGUUUAUUAAAAACACAGCACUGUGCAAACACGAAAGUGGACGUAUACGGUGUGACGCCUGCCCGGUGCCGGAAGGUUAAUUGAUGGGGUCAGCGCAAGCGAAGCUCCUGAUCGAAGCCCCGGUAAACGGCGGCCGUAACUAUAACGGUCCUAAGGUAGCGAAAUUCCUUGUCGGGUAAGUUCCGACCUGCACGAAUGGCGUAAUGAUGGCCAGGCUGUCUCCACCCGAGACUCAGUGAAAUUGAACUCGCUGUGAAGAUGCAGUGUACCCGCGGCAAGACGGAAAGACCCCGUGAACCUUUACUAUAGCUUGACACUGAACAUUGAGCCUUGAUGUGUAGGAUAGGUGGGAGGCUUUGAAGUGUGGACGCCAGUCUGCAUGGAGCCGACCUUGAAAUACCACCCUUUAAUGUUUGAUGUUCUAACGUGGACCCGUGAUCCGGGUUGCGGACAGUGUCUGGUGGGUAGUUUGACUGGGGCGGUCUCCUCCUAAAGAGUAACGGAGGAGCACGAAGGUUGGCUAAUCCUGGUCGGACAUCAGGAGGUUAGUGCAAUGGCAUAAGCCAGCUUGACUGCGAGCGUGACGGCGCGAGCAGGUGCGAAAGCAGGUCAUAGUGAUCCGGUGGUUCUGAAUGGAAGGGCCAUCGCUCAACGGAUAAAAGGUACUCCGGGGAUAACAGGCUGAUACCGCCCAAGAGUUCAUAUCGACGGCGGUGUUUGGCACCUCGAUGUCGGCUCAUCACAUCCUGGGGCUGAAGUAGGUCCCAAGGGUAUGGCUGUUCGCCAUUUAAAGUGGUACGCGAGCUGGGUUUAGAACGUCGUGAGACAGUUCGGUCCCUAUCUGCCGUGGGCGCUGGAGAACUGAGGGGGGCUGCUCCUAGUACGAGAGGACCGGAGUGGACGCAUCACUGGUGUUCGGGUUGUCAUGCCAAUGGCACUGCCCGGUAGCUAAAUGCGGAAGAGAUAAGUGCUGAAAGCAUCUAAGCACGAAACUUGCCCCGAGAUGAGUUCUCCCUGAGACUUAAAGUCUCCUGAAGGAACGUUGAAGACGACGACG
rnacentral:rRNA from 1 species